ACCCGGAAAACACCCGUAGCUUGCCGAUGACUUUAUCCGGUCAAGGUUGGCCCUGAUGGUCAUAUUGAUUGUCUCAAAGCUCAACUUGUUGCAAAGGGCUUUACUCAAGUGUAUGGAGAGGACUACAAGGGAACCCUUUUGCCGGUUGCCAAAAUGUCUUAUGUUCAAUUUUUUUUUUCUAUGGCAGCAAUAUGUGGUUGGCUCAUUCAUCAACUUGAUAUUAAAAAUGUCUUUUUGCAUGCUGAGAUUCAAGAAGAGGUUUAUAUGGAGCAACCACUCAAGGGAAGUCUAGUUUUGUUGCUAAAGGGAGUCUGGUCUUGAUAUAUUAGAAGAAACAGAUAUGAAUGAAUGUAAGAUUGUGGAUUCCUCUAUGGAUCCACAUACAAAGUUGGUUUCUAGACAGGGGGAGUAAUUGACAGAUGUUGAUGCUGGACGAUAUAGAAAACUGGUUGGAAAGCUUAAUUAUUUUACUAUCACCCGACCAAAUCUCCCGGAAAAGGUUUCUUUUCUGGCUUCUUACCACACAAAUUUGUACCCUGGGUUUGGUGACAUUAGGGACCAUAUUGGAUAUAUCUCUUGUUGCUCCACAGGUUGGCUUGAUUUUUCAAAUUUGCAAAGUCAAAGCUAAAGAUCAAUCAAAACACAUGAAAGGUAGACUUUCGACAACUAUUCCAAUAUUAUCACUAA